GGGGAAAUGGCGCAGUGGUAGCGCGUCGAGUUUGCAUAUUGACUGAGAAGUCGACAAUGUAAGAUCUCUCGAAGGACCGGGGUUCAAUCCCCCGUUUCUCCA